CCGACCUUAGCUCAGUUGGUAGAGCGGAGGACCGUAGAUCCUUAGGUCGCUGGUUCGAAUCCGGCAGGUCGGA
rnacentral:tRNA from 1 species